GCCUGGGUAGCUUAGUGGUAGAGCUCCUGACUAGAGUUGCAGGGAUCCCGGGUCCGAUUCACGGUCCAGCCG
rfam:Crassostrea gigas strain 05x7-T-G4-1.051#20 contig11026, whole genome shotgun sequence.